rnacentral:lncRNA from 1 species
CCCUAUACAUAUUUGGUUACUCCAUGCUUGACUUUGUUUAAGAUAAAGUUUUCAUAGCUUAGACAACUAUUCGUUACAGUCCUAAUAUACAUUAAACUAUAAUACAUUAAUUGUAGUAGAUUAUUUCUAAUCUAUGCACAAAUAUAAGUCUAGCGAUAUUGCUCUUAUUAUUUAAUUUAUUGCAUUAGGAUGGCUCCAGGGGCGAAGCUACAUAGAGACCACUACAAACAGGUGCCCAGUGCACUGGAUUUUGAGCUUGACACAAGAAAAACCAGUGUGGCUGCACUGGACCAAGAAGAGAAGAAGAAGGGAAGAAGUAGAGCACGCACUGACAUUAGCAGAGCCAGAAUUUACAUGUUGGGAGAGAGGACAAUCGCCAUUUACCAUUGUUGCAGGCAGUAGCAGACGGAAAGGUUGAAGAAUGAAGGGAAAAGAUAGAGAGGAAGAUAAGUGUUAGACUUGGGCCAAAUUUCCAAAGAAAUUUAGGAAAAAUUCAUAGUCCAGAAGAUAAGUAUAUGACCUUUCAAAUCUAAGAUUACAUGUUUGAAUCUUCAAAAAUCAAAUGGGUGGAGAGAGAGAAUCUUGGUG